AGAGUUUGAUCCUGGCUCAGAACGAACGCUGGCGGAGUGCUUAAGACAUGCAAGUCGUACGAGAAAGCCGCCUUCGGGUGGUGAGUAAAGUGGCGCACGGGUGAGUAACACGUGGAUAAUCUGCCUUUUGGUUUGGGAUAACCCCGGGAAACUGGAGCUAAUACCGAAUGAGCCUACGACGUCCUCGGGCGAUGUGGGAAAAGAUGGCCUCUCCUUGGAAGCUAUCGCCAGAAGAUGAGUCCGCGCACCAUUAGCUUGUUGGUGAGGUAAAGGCUCACCAAGGCUACGAUGGUUAGCUGGUCUGAGAGGAUGAUCAGCCACACUGGAACUGAGACACGGUCCAGACUCCUACGGGAGGCAGCAGUCGGGAAUCUUGGGCAAUGGGCGAAAGCCUGACCCAGCAACUCCGCGUGAGGGAUGAAGGCCUUCGGGUCGUAAACCUCUGUCGGGAGGGAAGAAAUGUCAUGUUGCGAAUAGUUUCAUGGCUUGACGGUACCUCCAAAGAAGCACCGCUAACU
rnacentral:rRNA from 1 species